UCGUGCUCGGCGGGAUCGGUACCGCGCUCCUGGUGUGGGCCGCGGUCGAGCGCGACCGGGCGCGGUUCCUGUCCGCGAGCGCGACC
rnacentral:tRNA from 1 species